UUAGUUUUAGAGAAAUAUCUUAACGUAAAAAUAUUUGUGGGUUAGCAAUAAAUUUUAAAAACUUUUAAAUUAAACAUAUAAAAUGCACAUAUCGCCAUAAGGAUCACUGAACUCUAAGUUUUCAGAAUUUAGUUGCUUAAAAUUUAUUAAAUACUCUAAAUGGAGUUUAAAAUAAAUAGAAUCCGGUUGUACACAAUUCAUUCAAUACUAGGUCGUUGCAGCGAUUGUCGUAGAUGAGCUGUAUCGAGUUAAUAUUUUCCACCUUAUUGUGAUAAAUACUUUAAGAAUUGCCUAAUAUUUGCUGAUGACAUGCAUAUCACUGGAGGAGGCUGUUGGUGACGAGUUUGCGGCAUAUUGAAUUAUGAAUGAGCACUUAAUAAAUAUUGAAAAAUUCGGGAUUACUUGAAUGACACGUUGAAUAUAGAAUGUAUACACAGAUAAACUUUAUAUGGACAGAAGAUCUUUCUUGAGGAACCUUGUAUGUAAUGGCGGUACAAAAAAUAUGCGGCGAAACGAGAAAUUUUUAGUGAAAAUCAGAAGUCGCCG